UACGUAGGGUGCGAGCGUUGUCCGGAAUUAUUGGGCGUAAAGAGCUCGUAGGCGGUGUGUCGCGUCGGCCGUGAAAACCUAGGGCUUAACUCUGGGCGUGCAGGUGGGUACGGGCAGGCUAGAGUGCGGUAGGGGAGACUGGAAUUCCUGGUGUAGCGGUGAAAUGCGCAGAUAUCAGGAGGAACACCGAUGGCGAAGGCAGGUCUCUGGGCCACUACUGACGCUGAGAAGCGAAAGCAUGGGGAGCGAACAGG
rnacentral:rRNA from 1 species